UACGGAGGGAGCUAGCGUUGUUCGGAAUUACGGGGCGUAAAGCGCGCGUAGGCGGCUUUGUAAGUUAGAGGUGAAAGCCCGGGGCUCAACCCCGGAACUGCCUUUAAAACUGCAUCGCUUGAAUCCGGGAGAGGUGAGUGGAAUUCCGAGUGUAGAGGUGAAAUUCGUAGAUAUUCGGAAGAACACCAGUGGCGAAGGCGGCUCACUGGACCGGCAUUGACGCUGAGGUGCGAAAGCGUGGGGAGCAAACAGG
rnacentral:rRNA from 1 species